rnacentral:rRNA from 1 species
UACAGAGGUCUCGAGCGUUAGGCGGAAUCACUGGGCUUAAAGCGUGUGUAGGCGGGCCGUUAAGUACCUUGUGAAAUCCCAUGGCUCAACCAUGGAACUGCUGGGUAUACUGGCGAUCUUGUGCAACCUAGGGGCGAGCGGAACAGAUGGUGGAGCGGUGAAAUGCGUAGAUAUCAUCUGGAACGCCAAUGGUGAAAACAGCUCGCUGGGGGUUUGCAGACGCUGAGACACGAAAGCCAGGGGAGCGAACGGG